GAUGAACGCUUGCGGCGUGCCUAAUACAUGCAAGUCGAGCGAACAGACGAGGAGCUUGCUCCUCUGACGUUAGCGGCGGACGGGUGAGUAACACGUGGAUAACCUACCUAUAAGACUGGGAUAACUUCGGGAAACCGGAGCUAAUACCGGAUAAUAUAUUGAACCGCAUGGUUCAAUAGUGAAAGACGGUUUUGCUGUCACUUAUAGAUGGAUCCGCGCCGCAUUAGCUAGUUGGUAAGGUAACGGCUUACCAAGGCGACGAUGCGUAGCCGACCUGAGAGGGUGAUCGGCCACACUGGAACUGAGACACGGUCCAGACUCCUACGGGAGGCAGCAGUAGGGAAUCUUCCGCAAUGGGCGAAAGCCUGACGGAGCAACGCCGCGUGAGUGAUGAAGGUCUUCGGAUCGUAAAACUCUGUUAUUAGGGAAGAACAAAUGUGUAAGUAACUAUGCACGUCUUGACGGUACCUAAUCAGAAAGCCACGGCUAACUACGUG
rnacentral:rRNA from 1 species